rnacentral:rRNA from 1 species
UUUAACAAAAACAUGUCCUUUUGAGUAUAAUUUAAGGUCGGGCCUGCCCACUGACAAGUAGUUGAAGGGCCGCGGUAUUUUGACCGUGCAAAGGUAGCAUAAUCAUUAGUCUUUUAAUUGAGGGCUGGAAUGAAUGGUUUGACGAAAUAUUAACUGUCUCUGUAUAAUAAAUAGAAUUUAACUUCUGAGUCAAAAGGCUUAGAUAAGUAUAAAAGACGAGAAGACCCUAUAGAUCUUUAUAUGAUUGAUAUGGUUAUUUAUUUGGUUGUAUUGAUUAUAAUUAUAUUGUUGUAUUUUGUUGGGGUGACAUGAAGAUAAAAAUAACUCUUUAUAAUAGGAACAUUGAUUUAUGAUUAGAUGAUCCGUUAUUGGCGAUUAUAAGAUAAAGUUACCUUAGGGAUAACAGCGUAAUUUUUUUUGAGAGUUCUUAUCGACAAGAAAGAUUGCGACCUCGA